UGGGGAAUAUUGGGCAAUGGGGGAAACCCUGACCCAGCAACGCCGCGUGAGGGAAGAAGGCUUUCGAGUUGUAAACCUCUGUCCUAUGGGAAGAAGAAAGUGACUGUACCAUAGGAGGAAGCUCCGGCUAACUACGUGCCAGCAGCCGCGGUAAUACGUAGGGAGCGAGCGUUGUCCGGAAUUACUGGGCGUAAAGGGUGCGUAGGCGGCGCAGUUAGUCAGAAGUGAAAUAUCGGGGCUUAACUCCGGGACUGCUUCUGAUACUGCUGUGCUCGAGUGCAGGAGAGGUAAGUGGAAUUCCUAGUGUAGCGGUGAAAUGCGUAGAUAUUAGGAGGAACACCAGUGGCGAAGGCGACUUACUGGACUGUAACUGACGCUGAGGCACGAAAGCGUGGGUAGCAAACAGG
rnacentral:rRNA from 1 species